CAAAGAAGAUACGCAGAUGGUAAAUAAGCCAUGAAAAGGGGCUCAGCAUCAUAUGUCAGUAGGAAAUAGCAAAUUAAAACAAUAUACCACUACACACCUAUCAGCUGGCCAAAAUCCAAAACACGAACACCACCAAAUGCUGGUGAGGACGUGAAGCCACAGGAACGCCCAUUCAUUGCUGGUGGGAACACAAAAUGGUGCAGCCACUUGGGAAGACAGUUUGGCAGCUUCUUGCAAAACUCUCACCAUAUGAUCCGGCAAUCACACUCCCUGGUAAAUCCCCUUUGGGAUUUACCCAAAAGAGGUGAAAAUGUAUGUCCACACCAAAACUUCCACACCGGUGUUUAUAGCAGCUUUAUUCAUAAAUGCCCCAAACUGGGACAAGCCUAAGAUGCUCUUGAGAGAGGGUAAAUGGAUAAACUGUGGUAGAGCCAAACAAUGGAAUAUUAUUCGGCACUAAAAAGAAAUGAGCUGUCAAGCCAUGAAAACACACAGAGGAAAUAUAAAUGCUAUUACCAGGCGAAAGGAGUCAAUCAGAAAAGGCCACAUAGUGCAUGAGUCCAACCACAUGACAUUCUGGAAAAGGCAAAACUGUGGGGACAGUAAAAACCAUCAGUGGUUACGGGGGUGGAGGGUGGGGGAGGAACGGGCAGAGCCAAGGGUUUUCAGGGCAAUGAAACCAUUUUGCAUUCUCUGUAAAUGGCGGACCCGUGUCCUACAUUUGUCCCAAUCUACGGAAUGGCUAACACCAAGAGUGGGCUCUAACGGAUGCCGUGGACUCGGGGUGAUGGCGCAUCCGUGUGGGUUGGCU
rnacentral:lncRNA from 1 species